AUGCAAGUCGAGGGGUAACGGGGAAGCUUGCUUCCGCCGACGACCGGCGCACGGGUGCGUAACGCGUAUACAAUCUACCUUAUACUGGGGUAUAGCCUUUAGAAAUGAAGAUUAACCCCCCAUAGUCUCUUAGAGUGGCAUCACUUCUAGAGUAAAGGUUACGGUAUAAGAUGAGUAUGCGUUCUAUUAGUUUGUUGGUGUGGUAACGGCACACCAAGACUACGAUAGAUAGGGGCCCUGAGAGGGGGAUCCCCCACACUGGUACUGAGACACGGACCAGACUCCUACGGGAGGCAGCAGUGAGGAAUAUUGGACAAUGGAGGCAACUCUGAUCCAGCCAUGCCGCGUGCAGGAAGACUGCCCUAUGGGUUGUAAACUGCUUUUAUACAGGAAGAAACACCUCUACGUGUAGAGGCUUGACGGUACUGUAAGAAUAAGGAUCGGCUAACUCCGUGCCAGCAGCCGCGGUAAUACGGAGGAUCCAAGCGUUAUCCGGAAUCAUUGGGUUUAAAGGGUCCGUAGGUGGAUAAUUAAGUCAGAGGUGA
rnacentral:rRNA from 1 species